CAAAGCAACUGGUUGAACUGGUGAAGUUAACAGGGCAGCAGUUUUCGUCAUCUCAUAUUCUAGAAGUCUACAGGGGCUCCUUAAACCAAUUUGUCAAGAAACACAGGCAUCAGACUGUGAGACUGCAUGGAGCAGGAAAACAUCUAGCCAAGG